CCAGGGGAGCUUGGUAUGCUGACUCUAACAAAUAACAUGGGGUGUGGAGAGGGGUGGAGGACCCGUUGCCAAAUUCUGUGAUCAUCCUGCAUCACUGCAUUUGAGUUUUGCAGAGGAUAACAUUUCACUCCGCUGCACAAACGCCAUGGAAGUUCUACAAAGCAGCAGUUGAUGGUGGCUUUGCAGUGGUCUGCGUACUCUAGAAUGUCACCAGCAGAAUGCCUCUGCCGCAUCUGGAGUCGGUAGCUGGGUGCGCCUGGGGCGUUGUUGCGUACUGGUGUAGACCAGAC